rnacentral:lncRNA from 10 species
GUAAAAUAACUUAAUUGAGAAAUGCAUAAUAUUUAACUGCUUUAAAUUUCAUAAACAUUUAGUAGCAAAUAUAUUGAUUUUAUAUAUUUUCACAUUCAUGUGCAAUAUACGUGUUAUACAUACAAUAUAUUGUAUUAUAUAUCAAAUAUAUACAUAGUAUCUAUUAGAAUACAUAUUUUUAUUUUUAAAUAAUGAGCACAAAGAAAUUGUGUUGUGUAUGAAAUAUAUAAAGGUCCUUGAAGAUAAACUAAAUUCAUGUAAUUCUUUCUCUCAAGUAUAUGUAUUCAAAUAUCUGAACAAGUUUGAAUUCUACAAAAGAAGGUCUCACCUCUCUCCUCAACCCUGUUGUGAAGUUUAAUGUGAUAAAUUUAAUGCAUCUACUUAAACUUGAUUCUCCAUACAAGAAUGUUUGCAACUUUUGAUUGCCUUUUAGAGUCAUCUUCUCUUGACCAUCUAUAUUUAAAUAUUGAUUAGGAAGCACAGGACAUGAGACUAGGUUCUGGUUUUGACACCAUCUUUCAAUCAAUUAUUUUUAUCCUGGUAUAAUAAAAAUAGCAUUUUAAAAGAGUAUACCUCCUUGAGAUAUUUUUAUUUAGGUGAUUUGUUUGUGUGAGAGUGUGUGUGUGUGUGUGUGUGUGUGUGUGUGUGUGUCAGGAAAGACAAGUUAUAUUGCAGAGGCAGUGAGAGCUUAUUGAGCUAUGAAUGUGGUAUGCAGAAGAAGUAAGUCACAAUUCACACAGGCACUCACACACUUACAUAGGUACCUUAAAUAUCCCCAUUGGACUGAAAAAGAUAAAUGCUGCCAUUAUCUUUAUCUUUAUUAUUGGUAAACAAGGAGCUGACAUUAUCUAUAAAAACCAUAUUCCUUAACUGUAUUUUUAUUGAGAUUCAUUGGUAUAAUUAAAACUUGAAUGGACUGAAAUAUUUCAGGAACCUGCAGUGAACACUCUUUCCUUUAUCUGAAAAUGUAGUUUAUUUCAUCUGAAAUUGUUUUCUAUAAUUUCCCUCUCCACCCAUAAAUGACCUUCUUUUUAUACUCAUGGAUAUACUCACUUAUGAACCUGUAGACUAUACACUUCACAGAAAUAGGAGAAACCAUAAUGUUCUCCUGGCACUGAGGGAAUAUCAAUGGUAUUCUAAAUGAGGAACUAUUAACUUUUUAUUACAAUAAUGAUUUUUUAGUAAUUUCCAUAGUUUGAAAUGUGGUUAGGAUGCUACUGGCAGUUGAAAGCUGACAACAUGAUUGAAUAGUUUUAACAUGAUCUGGUGUUUGUUACAGUGCUUUAAAAUUUUAAAUAUUAUCAUUCAUGUUAUAAUGUUAUCCAGUGAUAGUCAAUUAGGCCAAAUCAGUGGUAAUUUAGUGUUAUAUCACAAUUUAUUUGGACUCGAGUUAUAGAUUGACCAUUGCUUUGUGAGUUUUCUUAGCCAUUCUGUUUUUCUGUAUCUAAUGUAAAAUAACAUUUUUUCUCCUUUUUUAUUUACCAG